rnacentral:rRNA from 1 species
AGAGUUUGAUCCUGGCUCAGGAUGAACGCUGGCGGCGUGCUUAACACAUGCAAGUCGAACGAAGCACUUCGGACAGAUUCUUCGGAUGAAGUCCUUAGUGACUGAGUGGCGGACGGGUGAGUAACGCGUGGGUAACCUGCCUCAUACAGGGGGAUAACAGUUAGAAAUGGCUGCUAAUACCGCAUAAGCGCACAGAGCUGCAUGGCUCGGUGUGAAAAACUCCGGUGGUAUGGGAUGGGCCCGCGUCUGAUUAGGCAGUUGGCGGGGUAACGGCCCACCAAACCGACGAUCAGUAGCCGGCCUGAGAGGGCGACCGGCCACAUUGGGACUGAGACACGGCCCAAACUCCUACGGGAGGUAGCAGUGGGGAAUAUUGCACAAUGGGGGAAACCCUGAUGCAGCGACGCCGCGUGAGCGAAGAAGUAUUUCGGUAUGUAAAGCUCUAUCAGCAGGGAAGAUAAUGACGGUACCUGACUAAGAAGCCCCGGCUAACUACGUGCCAGCAGCCGCGGUAAUACGUAGGGGGCAAGCGUUAUCCGGAUUUACUGGGUGUAAAGGGAGCGUAGACGGCAAGGCAAGUCUGAUGUGAAAACCCAGGGCUUAACCCUGGGACUGCAUUGGAAACUGUCUGGCUCGAGUGCCGGAGAGGUAAGCGGAAUUCCUAGUGUAGCGGUGAAAUGCGUAGAUAUUAGGAAGAACACCAGUGGCGAAGGCGGCUUACUGGACGGUAACUGACGUUGAGGCUCGAAAGCGUGGGGAGCAAACAGGAUUAGAUACCCUGGUAGUCCACGCCGUAAACGAUGAA